rnacentral:rRNA from 1 species
UGGGGAAUAUUGCACAAUGGGCGCAAGCCUGAUGCAGCAACGCCGCGUGAACGAUGAAGGUCUUCGGAUCGUAAAGUUCUGUUGCAGGGGAAGAUAAUGACGGUACCCUAUGAGGAAGCCCCGGCUAACUACGUGCCAGCAGCCGCGGUAAUACGUAGGGGGCUAGCGUUAUCCGGAUUUACUGGGCGUAAAGGGUGCGUAGGUGGUCUUUCAAGUCGGUGGUUAAAGGCUACGGCUCAACCGUAGUUAGCCUCCGAAACUGGAAGACUUGAGUGCAGGAGAGGAAAGUGGAAUUCCCAGUGUAGCGGUGAAAUGCGUAGAUAUUGGGAGGAACGCCAGUAGCGAAGGCGGCUUUCUGGACUGCAACUGACACUGAGGCACGAAAGCGUGGGUAGCAAACAGG